rnacentral:rRNA from 1 species
GAUGAACGCUGACAGAAUGCUUAACACAUGCAAGUCGAUUCGAUUUACCUUCGGGUAUUGAGGAUGGCGGACGGGUGAGUAACGCGUAAGGAACUUGCCUCUUGGUCUGGGACAACUGUUGGAAACGACAGCUAAUACCGGAUAUUAUGAGAUUCUCGCAUGGGAAACUUAUGAAAGCUAUAUGCGCCAAGAGAGAGCCUUGCGUUCCAUUAGCUAGUUGGUGGGGUAACGGCCCACCAAGGCGACGAUGGAUAGCCGGCCUGAGAGGGUGAACGGCCACAAGGGGACUGAGACACGGCCCUUACUCCUACGGGAGGCAGCAGUGGGGAAUAUUGGACAAUGGACCAAAAGUCUGAUCCAGCAAUUCUGUGUGCACGAUGAAGGUCUUCGGAUUGUAAAGUGCUUUCAGUUGGGAAGAAGCAAGUGACGGUACCAACAGAAGAAGCGACGGCUAAAUACGUGCCAGCAGCCGCGGUAAUACGCAUGUCGCAAGCGUUAUCCGGAUUUAUUGGGCGUAAAGCGCGUCUAGGCGGAAAAAUAANUCUGAUGUUAAAAUGCGGGGCUCAACUCCGUAUUGCGUUGGAAACUGUUUUUCUAGAGUACUGGAGAGGUGGGCGGAACUACNAGUGUAGAGGU